rnacentral:tRNA from 1 species
CGGGGAGUAGCUCAGCUCGGCUAGAGCGCUUGUAUGGGGUACAAGAGGUCGGAGGUUCAAAUCCUCUCUCCCCGA